GAUGAACGCUGGCGGCGUGCCUAAUACAUGCAAGUCGAACGCAUUGUGGUUGAAAUGAUAUGAAGAACUUGUUCAGAUUUGAUUUUCAACAUUGCAAUGAGUGGCGAACGGGUGAGUAACACGUGGGAAACCUACCUCUUAGCAGGGGAUAACAUUUGGAAACAAAUGCUAAUACCGUAUAAUAAUUAAAACCGCAUGGUUUUAGUUUAAAAGAUGGUCUUGCUAUCACUAAGAGAUGGUCCCGCGGUGUAUUAGUUAGUUGGUGAGGUAAUGGCUCACCAAGACAAUGAUACAUAGCCGAGUUGAGAGACUGACCGGCCACAAUGGGACUGAGACACGGCCCAUACUCCUACGGGAGGCAGCAGUAGGGAAUCUUCCUCAAUGGACGAAAGUCUGAUGGAGCAACGCCGCGUGUGUGAUGAAGGGUUUCGGCUCGUAAAACACUGUUGUAAGAGAAGAAUGACAUUGAGAGUAACUGUUCAAUGUGUGACGGUAU
rnacentral:rRNA from 1 species